rnacentral:tRNA from 1 species
UGGUGCCGGCGGCGUGGGUCUUGCCGGUGGCGUCGGUCUUGCCGGGGGUGGUGCUCUUGCCCGCGGUGGUGCCGGUGCCGCCCGGCGCCGG